AGCGAACGCUGGCGGCAUGCCUAACACAUGCAAGUCGCACGGGGGGGCUUCGGCCUCCCAGUGGCGGACGGGUGAGGAACGCGUAGGGACCUGUCGAGGGGUGGGGGAUAACCGCGGGAAACUGCGGCUAAUACCGCAUGACGCCGCGGCGUGACAGCCGGGGCCAAAGGCGAAAGCCGCCCGCCGAGGGGCCUGCGUCCGAUUAGCUGGUUGGCGGGGUAGCGGCCCACCAAGGCGUCGAUCGGUAGCUGGUCUGAGAGGGUGAUCAGCCACACCGGGACUGAGACACGGACCGGAAUCCUACGGGAGGGAGCAGUGGGGAAUAUUGGACAAUGGGCGCAAGCCUGAUCCAGCAAUGCCGCGUGGGUGAAGAAGGUCUUCGGAUUGUAAAGCCCUUUCGGCGGGGACGAUGGUGACGGUACCCGCAGAAGAAGCCCCGGCUAACUUCGUG
rnacentral:rRNA from 1 species